CGCGGCCUAUCAGCUUGUUGGUGGGGUAGUGGCCUACCAAGGCGACGACGGGUAGCCGGCCUGAGAGGGUGAUCGGCCACACUGGGACUGAGACACGGCCCAGACUCCUACGGGAGGCAGCAGUGGGGAAUAUUGCACAAUGGGCGAAAGCCUGAUGCAGCGACGCCGCGUGAGGGAUGACGGCCUUCGGGUUGUAAACCUCUUUCAGCAGGGACGAAGCGCAAGUGACGGUACCUGCAGAAGAAGCACCGGCUAACUACGUGCCAGCAGCCGCGGUAAUACGUAGGGUGCGAGCGUUGUCCGGAAUUAUUGGGCGUAAAGAGCUCGUAGGCGGUUUGUCGCGUCGGCCGUGAAAACUUGGGGCUUAACCCCGAGCCUGCGGUCGAUACGGGCAGACUUGAGUUCGGCAGGGGAGACUGGAAUUCCUGGUGUAGCGGUGAAAUGCGCAGAUAUCAGGAGGAACACCGGUGGCGAAGGCGGGUCUCUGGGCCGAUACUGACGCUGAGGAGCGAAAGCGUGGGGAGCGAACAGGAUUAGAUACCCUGGUAGUCCACGCCGUAAACGGUGGGUGCUAGGUGUGGGGGACUUCCACGUUCUCCGUGCCGCAGCUAACGCAUUAAGUGCCCCGCCUGGGGAGUACGG
rnacentral:rRNA from 1 species